GUGCCAGCAGCCGCGGUAAUACGGAGGGUGCAAGCGUUAAUCGGAAUUACUGGGCGUAAAGCGCGCGUAGGUGGCUUGAUAAGCCGGUUGUGAAAGCCCCGGGCUCAACCUGGGAACGGCAUCCGGAACUGUCAGGCUAGAGUGCAGGAGAGGAAGGUAGAAUUCCCGGUGUAGCGGUGAAAUGCGUAGAGAUCGGGAGGAAUACCCAGUGGCGAAGGCGGCCUUCUGGACUGACACUGACACUGAGGUGCGAAAGCGUGGGUAGCAAACAGGAUUAGAUACCCUGGUAGUCCACGCCGUAAAACGAUGUCGACCAGCCCGUUGGGUGCCUAGAGCACUUUGUGGCGAAGUUAACGCGAUAAGUCGACCCGCCUGGGGGAGUACGGCCGCAAGGUUUAAACUCAAAUGAAUUGACGG
rnacentral:rRNA from 1 species